AUGCUCCUGACCUUGCCUUGGCUUCCCUGCUUGACCUCAGACCUACCUCAUUGUGGAAAACUUGUCUGGAACUCUCAGGUGAGCUCCCUGGCAUACCCAGGUGUGGAGGAGUGCUGUCACUGCCAUCAGCUUGGAAGAUGUGUGCACUCCUUGCUGCAGGACACCACGUGCCUCUUUUUAACUCCUUCUAUUAAGGAAGCUCUGUGGAAAUCUGUGUCGACUACUAAAAGUAAGUUCAGUUACAAUCAGGGUUUGCAGGUGUCGCAGGCAAUUCUUGUAGCUCUCUGCCCAUCAGUGCACCCUGCCAUGCACAGUUUUUGUUUUCUAAUCCUUUCCUGCAUCCAUCCUUAUAUGCAGUGUGAGAACUGUACCGACAAGGGAGUAAGGUGAGACCACAGCUGUGUAAUAACUGCCCUUCAAAGAGCAAAGUUUAUUUCAACUGUAUUUCAAUGAAGUUUCAGCUGCAGGAUUUAGAUGGUAAAGGACACAGAUGAAUACAGUAAUUUUCUUUCCUAUCUUUAAUGCCUUGUCUUGCAUAGGAUGAGAGAUGUUCAUGUAGCCUGAAUGAGCACAGCUUCCUUGGUUUUAUCAGAGCAGCAUUUAUUUUCAUUAGCUGGGAACAGUUCAUGCCACGGUGUUUCCUUCCUGUGCCAGAGCAGCCAGUGAUUAUCAGUGAAACCAUCAGUUGGCUUUAAGGUUCAUUUUUAAAGGAAAGGCUGUUUUUUUUAGUUGGUCUGUUCAUUUGAAUCACUGUAACCAAGCAGUGCAUUACUUGUUCUUUGACUUCCCCAGACAUGCUGGGGAAGUGUUCUAUGAUUCCAUGUACAUACAGAUAUGGGCUUUUGUGGAUGUUUAUUAAUUUGUGACAGUAAUCUUUGAGAACUUGAUCUUGAUUGUAUUGCUAGGUAGAUACUUACUGAACACUUCAGACAAGCCAGCUCUCUGCGUGGUUUCUUAGCUUUUACAGUUUUCAGCUCGUAGUUCUACACAGCUAAUAUUGAGUAUUUUCUUCCAGUUGGACAAACACUGACAGCACAAGAGAAAUGUAGAUACAGCAAAAUAUAACUAGUUUGUAUGUGCUCUCAAUAAGCAGUAUGGCAACUUAAGGUUUAGUUUAACAAGUUCAGUGUUAAGUGAAGGAGAGUGCUGUGCAUUGACCACUGCGGUAGAAUCUUAUAUGAAUAGUUAACAGGAGGGGAAAAAAAAAAUUGUACUCUUCUGGAAUUUUGCCACAAAAUGGUGGUUAACUUCAUAGUUUUAAAGCUGUGUAAUUCAGUUCUGUGGCGAUGAUGAUCCCAGAGGUGGUCACUGAGGGAGAGCCUGCAAAUUCUUCUGGAAAGCAAGAAGUCGCUGCUUAAUGGGUGACGCUUCCACAUCUAGCUUAGACACAUAGAAAAAACUAACCAUGAUUUGUCCUGCUCAGCAUCCAGCGGCUCUCGCUGACUUUUUCCAGAUCCCUUUACUUAAUACUAUUUCCUCCUUUAAAGUUUCUUAUCUCUAUGUGAUUCCAGGCAAGAGUUGGUAGCACCAAGCAGGAUCACAGUCUGGCAAAUUAAGCCAAAUUCUGUACUUUGGAAAGCUGCAAGUUUGGCAACAAGCAGGAAGAAGCUGCAGAUUGCUUCUGUGCUCAGAGUGAUGAGGUCCAAACUUUCAGAUGGGACAGAGGCUGUAAUGGCAGAAUCCUGUCUUUUGCUUUUAAAUGAAUUUCACAAGUCUGCUGCCAUGUUCCAAAGUUUAAUGCAAAUAAAUCAGUGAUUGAAAUUGGAAUGUUUCA
rnacentral:lncRNA from 1 species